CCUACGGGGGGCAGCAGUGGGGAAUAUUGCACAAUGGGGGAAACCCUGAUGCAGCGACGCCGCGUGAGUGAAGAAGUAUUUCGGUAUGUAAAGCUCUAUCAGCAGGGAAGAAAAUGACGGUACCUGAUUAAGAAGCCCCGGCUAACUACGUGCCAGCAGCCGCGGUAAUACGGAGGAUGCGAGCGUUAUCCGGAUUUAUUGGGUUUAAAGGGUGCGUAGGCGGAGUGUCAAGUCAGCGGUAAAAUUUCGGGGCUCAACCCCGUCGUGCCGUUGAAACUGACGCCCUUGAGUGAGUGUGAAGUAAGCGGAAUGCGUGGUGUAGCGGUGAAAUGCAUAGAUAUCACGCAGAACGCCGAUUGCGAAGGCAGCUUACCGGCGCUCAACUGACGCUGAGGCACGAAAGUGCGGGUAUCGAACAGGAUUAGAUACCCGAGUAGUC
rnacentral:rRNA from 1 species